AGGGGAUUAGCUGGUUGGUUAGGGGCUUGCUAGGCAGGGAAAAGCAGAUUAUUUCCAUUUAGGGGAGGAAAAGUUUCUAGAAAGGGGCUGGAAGUGUUUCGCAUAACAGCCAUUCUAGCAUAAAUCAGUUUAUUUAGUAACAUUCUUAAAGUGAAAGUAAUAAGUAAAGUUCUUAAUUCCUUUUGAUUUAGACUGAGACCAAGUGUUGUGCUUUAUCAGAUUAAUCGUGAAGCUUUAAGUCUCAUCAGGUAUGUAUUAAUAAAAAUCCUGCUUUGUUUCCAACUUUCUUUUUUUCUUUAGUCCCAGAGACCUUGUGAUAUUAGCAAAUUCUACCAUAUAGAAAGAAUCUCAGACCUGCCAAGUGUCAGGGGGUGACUAAAGGUUAAAACACCCCAAACCUCUUCACAUUAUUAGGCUCCCAUCUUUAUUGAGGCAGUGAAAUUGAAUGGUGGGAGAUGUUUUAUGCUGUUUCAACUUGUACAUUUUGUUGUAUACUGCUCUAAUAUAUUGUACGAGGGGCGGUCUAUAAAUAUUUUUAUUAAAAAAUAUUUUAUUUUAUUAAAAAAAAUAUUUGGAGGCACUAUUUGGACUACCUGUAAGGUCCACUGUGGUCUGCUCUGGAAAGUUUAUACCGCUUACGUAUACCAGGUGGAAAGCCUGUCUGGCUUCCCCAUUAAGAGCAUCCUCAUAAGAGGCACAAUAGCAACCAUAUUAACGGGUUUGAGAAAUGCUCAGCAUGCUUCCUGUGUCAGUGCUGCUAACACUCCAUUUCAUUGGACAUCAUUAGCCGCAUAAUUGGUAGAAAGAGCUUCGUGCUUUCAGAAGUGGCGCUUAACAUUUUGAAAUGAAUUGGUACUGGGUGGUUUACUGCAGUGAUGCUUUGUAUGUCUUUGUAUUGCUUGUUCAGUAUAAUUAUUUAAUUGACACUGACAUGGGAAUGGCCAUGUGCAUUGCUGAAAGUUUUAUCAUUGGGAAAUUCCACUGAAGUAUACUAAGCAAGGCGAGAUAUCUGGGCUGACUAGAUGGGUUGAUAAUUAACCAUUGUUGUUCUCUAGCAGCUAACAUGGGAGUGUUUAACCUUGGAUCAAGUGGCAAAGGUAUUUGGUUGCAAAUCUCCAUUUUGAAAGGGAGUUGCCUUUAGCCUUUGUUCUCAGGAUCUGCAUAGCCUAAGACAGGCUUCCUCAGCCUUGGCCCUCCAGCUGUUUUUGGCCUAUAACUCCCAUGAUCCCUAGCUAGCAGGACCAGUGGUCAGGGAUGAUGGGAACUGUAGUCUCAAAACAUCUGGAGAGCCGAGGUUGAGGAAGCCUGGCCUAAGGGGUAGAAAUGCAGGCCAAUGGAACCUGUGAGAGACAGAGCUAUGCUUGUCCGCUCUGACUGUAAGUUUUAUUUCUAAGAAGAAUUUCUAAGAAGAAUUAUGGUGCUGGAGGAGACUCUUGAGAGUCCCAUGGACUGCAAGAAGAUCAAACCUAUCCAUUCUGAAAGAAAUCAGCCCUGAGUGCUCACUGGAAGGACAGAUUGUGAAGCUGAGGCUCCAAUACUUUGGCCACCUCAUGAGAAGAGAAGACUCCCUGGAAAAGACCCUGAUGCUGAGAAAUAUGGAGGGCACAAGCAGAAGGGGACGACAGAGGUCGAGAUGGUUGGACAGUGUUCUCAAAGCUACCAUCAUGAGUUUGACCAAACUGUGGGAGGCAGUGGAAGACAGGAGUGCCUGGCGUGCUCUGGUCCAUGGGGUCACGAAGAGUCAGACACGACUAAACGACUAAACCAGAAGAAGAAGAUGAACCUGUGCUGGGCUUGCACAAGAUAUCGUACGGAAUUAUCUAGAUGUAUCUUUGAUGUUUUGAAGGAAGUUCGGCAAGUAAAGUUUUGGGUCUCGACAAUGCUCCAUUCCAAAAGGAGUCAGUUUUUCUGCACCCAGUCAGUUCAAACUGUGCAAUACUAAUAUCUGAAAAAUUGAUUUCUGUACUUCUGGAGCAGCUUUGGGUACAGCUAUGUAAAAUAAAUAAAUAAAACAUUGCAAUCAGCAUCAAUGAUAUUAGUUAAUAUCUAAUGCUAGAAAUGCACCAUGUGUCAUGGGGCUGGGAGGAAGAGCACAGUUAAUAUUGCACAGUUUGAACUGACUGGGUGCAUAAAAACUGACUCCUUUGGGGAUGAAGCAUUGUCCAGACCCUAUUAUUAUUACAGUGGUACCUCGGGUUACAGACGCUUCAGGUUACAGACUCUGCUAACCCAGAAAGAGUACCUCGGGUUAAGGACUUUGCUUCAGGAUGAGAACAGAAAUCGCAUGACGGCAGUGGGAGGCCCCAUUAGCUAAAGUGGUACCUCAGGUUAAGAACAGUUUCAGGUUAAGAACGGACCUCCAGAACGAAUUAAGUUCUUAACCCAAGGUACCACUGUAUUAUUAUUAUUAUUAUUAUUAUUAUUAUUAUUAUUACAUUCUUUAUGUUCUAGAAGCAAGUGGGCCUGGAGAGCCAUCAGCAGAGAAGCUGUCUUGAUGGAGCUAUGGGUGAGAUGUAGGGUCUGCCUCCCCUCUGUCAUCUCUGUCAGAGCCUGCAUCUAAACUGGAAAUCCCAUCACCCAGCCCUGUGCUGUGCCCCCUGCCUGCUUCUGUCUCUUCGUGAUCCCUCAAGAUUCCUGCUUCGAGUACCUCCCAACUUGUCCCCUCCUCUGAGGCGUGGCCAGUGUCCCACCACCAGAAUCCGGUAUCUAACUCAUCUUCUCCUGUGCCUUCCCUGGGGGGCUCUGGGGUAGGCAGCUUCCACCACCCUUCCUCAUCCAGUCGGUCCCUGACACCAUGUGACAAAGAGCACUUGAACUCAUCAUACCAGCAAUUGUUGAGAAAUGGGAUCAUCUUAAUAGAUGGUCCUGGUUGCAGGUAGGCUCUCAACCUGGUUCCCCCCACCCUGACGUGGGUGGAGCUAUCGCCCUCACGCCUUGGUGGCACCACAGUCACCCAGGGCUAUUGCCCAAUCAUGUCAUUGGGUGAUAGUGGGGGAAAGCGGCAGUUUGGCGUGUGCUUGGCUCCUGCUUCGCGCUGCUGAACACCCGCCCACCCUCUCUUUAAUUUAGAUCCUUUGGCCUUGCUUUGGACUUUGUUUGGUUGCCCGGCUUGAGUCGGGGGCCAGGUAGGAAUUUUUUCCAUUUGGGAAAUUGGCACGGGCCACUUGGCUUUUGCCUACCUCUUAGCAAUCGUUACAACUUUGUAAGGUUUGGCAGUUAGGCAUUGGCUUAUGGUGAAUGGGGGAGGGGAGGUUGGCCAUCACCUGCUCCUCCAGUUUCAAGGGUAUUCCGUUAAAGGAAUCCCGGGCCUGGUUCCUGUCCGAAGUCCACUUGAAGGGUGAGGGCCAUGCCAGGCCUCUGGGAACACCAGGGGAGCUGCAGGCGGGUUCCUCCAAAGCAAUUUCCCUUUGGGUGGUUUACCCUUACAGACUUCCUGCAAAGGGGGCAGAAGUCAGAUAUAGUCUUGCCAAUACCACGC